GUACACGCUGUGACUAGCAUAUCAAUAAGCGGAGGAAAAGAAACUAACAAGGAUUCCCCUAGUAACGGCGAGUGAAGCGGGAAGAGCUCAAAUUUGAAAUCUUAAAGGGUUUCCCUUUACGAAUUGUAGUUUAAAGAAGUGUUUUCUGUUGAGGUUUUGGUAAAAGUUCUUUGGAAUAGGACAUCAUAGAGGGUGAGAAUCCCGUAUUUGACCUUUACUUUCAACUUUGUGAUACACUUCCAAAGAGUCGGAUUGUUUGGGAAUGCAGUCCAAAAUGGGUGGUAAAUUUCAUCUAAGCUAAAUAUUGGCGAGAGACCGAUAGCGAACAAGUACCGUGAGGGAAAGAUGAAAAGAACUUUGAAAAGAGAGUUAAACAGUACGUGAAAUUGUCAAAAGGGAAGCGUUUGACACCAGUGUUGUUUUUCUGAAAAUCAAUUAAAGAACUGUUUAUGCUAAGUUGUUUAGACUUUAUCAGCUAACUGUUUAGUUUUGAGCUUUUCUUUAAUGCACUUUUCAGUUAACAAGUCAACAUCAAUUUCUUUUGCUGUAAAAAAGCUUGAGGAAGGUGGCUUGAGAUUCGUCUUAAGUGUUUAUAGCCUCUUGCCUAUGCAGUCGGAGAGAUUGAGGUCUGCAGCGUAGAUCCUUCGGGGCUAAAUGCAUUUGUGCUAAGUUAUAGCAUUUUAUAGACAACUUGUUGACUACGAUUUGUCUUGUAGCUUACUCGCUUAUGUUAUUUUACCUACGCUUAGGAUGUUGACUGAUAUGUAGUCGUA
rnacentral:rRNA from 1 species